CCGACGGGUGAGUAACACGCAUCCAACCUGCCGUCUACUCUUGGCCAGCCUUCUGAAAGGAAGAUUAAUCCAGGAUGGCAUCAUGAGUUCACAUGUCCGCAUGAUUAAAGGUAUUUUCCGGUAGACGAUGGGGAUGCGUUCCAUUAGAUAGUAGGCGGGGUAACGGCCCACCUAGUCAACGAUGGAUAGGGGUUCUGAGAGGAGGGUCCCCCACAUUGGAACUGAGACACGGUCCAA
rnacentral:rRNA from 1 species